GGCCUAGUGGUGUAAUGGUAACACCUUUGCUCUACAUUCGUAUGCAUGACAGGUUUUUGUGGAAGUUCCUUGUUCGACUCAGGGCUAGGCCA